rnacentral:lncRNA from 1 species
UUUGAUGAGCAUUGUUUCAUUCUAGAGUUCCACAUUAGAAAUGUAUGGAAUUUAGCAAAGCUUUGAUGAACAUUGUUUAAUUCUAGAGUUCCACAAUAGAAGUAGUCUUCUCAAUUUAGAAAAGCUUUGAUGAGCAUUGUUUAAUUCUAGAGUUCCACAACAGAAGUAGUCUUCGCAAUUUAGCAAAGCUUUGAUGAACAUUGUUUAAUUCUUGAGUUCCAGAAUAGAAGUUGCCUUUAUGCAAUUUAAGCAAAGCUUUGAUGAGCAUUGUUUCAUUCUUGAGUUCCAUAAUUGAAGUAGUCUUCGCAAUUCAGCAAAGCUUUGAUGAGCAUUGUUUAAUUCUUGAAUUCCACAAUAGAAGUAUUCAAUUUAAGCAAAGCUUUGAUGAGCAUUGUUUCAUUCUUGAGUUCCACAAGAGAAGUCUAUGCAAUUUAGCAAAGCUUAGAGGAGCAUUGUUUCAUUCUUGGUUGCCACAUUGGAAGUCUAUGCAAUUUAGCAAAGCAUUGAUGAACAUUGUUUAAUUCUUGAGUUCAACAAUAGAAGUAGUCUUUGCAAUUUAAGCAAAGCUUUGAUGAGC